rnacentral:rRNA from 1 species
UACAGAGGGGGCAAGCGUUGUUCGGAAUUACUGGGCGUAAAGGGCGCGUAGGCGGCCUUCUAAGUCGAACGUGAAAGCCCCGGGCUCAACCUGGGAAUUGCAUUUGAGACUGAAUAGCUAGGGUGCGGAAGAGGGAAGCGGAAUUUCCGGUGUAGCGGUGAAAUGCGUAGAGAUCGGGAGGAACACCAGAGGCGAAGGCGGCGACCUGGACAGGUACUGACACUCAACUACGAAAGCGUGGGGAGCAAACAGGAUUAGAAAACCC